rnacentral:rRNA from 1 species
UACGUAGGGGGCAAGCGUUGUCCGGAAUCAUUGGGCGUAAAGAGCGUGUAGGCGGCCCGAUAAGUCCGCUGUGAAAGUCCAGGGCUCAACCCUGGAAUGCCGGUGGAUACUGUCGGGCUCGAAUCCGGAAGAGGUGAGUGGAAUUCCUGGUGUAGCGGUGAAAUGCGCAGAUAUCAGGAGGAACACCAAUGGCGAAGGCAGUUCACUGGGACGGUAUUGACGCUGAGACGCGAAAGCGUGGGGAGCAAACAGG